UUUGGUUAAGUUAGAAAGGGCGCACGGUGGAUGCCUUGACACUAGGAGUCGAUGAAGGACGGGACUAACGCCGAUAUGCUUCGGGGAGCUGUAAGUAAGCUUUGAUCCGAAGAUUUCCGAAUGGGGAAACCCACCAUACGUAAUGGUAUGGUAUCCUUAUCUGAAUACAUAGGGUAAGGAAGACAGACCCAGGGAACUGAAACAUCUAAGUACCUGGAGGAAGAGAAAGCAAAUGCGAUUUCCUGAGUAGCGGCGAGCGAAACGGAACAUAGCCCAAACCAAGAGGCUUGCCUCUUGGGGUUGUAGGACAUUCUAUACGGAGUUACAAAGGAACGAGGUAGACGAAGCGACCUGGAAAGGUCCUAGGACAUUCUAUACGGAGUUACAAAGGAACGAGGUAGACGAAGCGACCUGGAAAGGUCCGUCGUAGAGGGUAACAACCCCGUAGUCGAAACUUCGUUCUCUCUUGAAUGUAUCCUGAGUACGGCGGAACACGUGAAAUUCCGUCGGAAUCUGGGAGGACCAUCUCCCAAGGCUAAAUACUCCCUAGUGAUCGAUAGUGAACCAGUACCGUGAGGGAAAGGUGAAAAGCACCCCGGAAGGGGAGUGAAAGAGAUCCUGAAACCGUGUGCCUACAAAUAGUCAGAGCCCGUUAAUGGGUGAUGGCGUGCCUUUUGUAGAAUGAACCGGCGAGUUACGAUCCCGUGCGAGGUUAAGCUGAAGAGGCGGAGCCGCAGCGAAAGCGAGUCUGAAUAGGGCGUUUAGUACGUGGUCGUAGACCCGAAACCAGGUGAUCUACCCAUGUCCAGGGUGAAGUUCAGGUAACACUGAAUGGAGGCCCGAACCCACGCACGUUGAAAAGGGCGGGGAUGAGGUGUGGGUAGCGGAGAAAUUCCAAUCGAACCUGGAGAUAGCUGGUUCUCCCCGAAAUAGCUUUAGGGCUAGCCUUAAGUUUAAGAGUCUUGGAGGUAGAGCACUGAUUGGACUAGGGGUCCUCAUCGGAUUACCGAAUUCAGUCAAACUCCGAAUGCCAAUGACUUAUUCAAACUCCGAAUGCCAAUGACUUAUACUUAGGAGUCAGACUGCGAGUGAUAAGAUCCGUAGUCAAAAGGGAAACAGCCCAGACCGCCAGCUAAGGUCCCAAAGUGUGUAUUAAGUGGAAAAGGAUGUGGAGUUGCUUAGACAACUAGGAUGUUGGCUUAGAAGCAGCCACCAUUUAAAGAGUGCGUAAUAGCUCACUAGUCGAGUGACUCUGCGCCGAAAAUGUACCGGGGCUAAAUACACCACCGAAGCUGCGGAUUGAUACCAAUGGUAUCAGUGGUAGGGGAGCGUUCUAAGGACAGUGAAGUCAGACCGUAAGGACUGGUGGAGUGCUUAGAAGUGAGAAUGCCGGUAUGAGUAGCGAAAGACGGGUGAGAAUCCCGUCCACCGAAUGCCUAAGGUUUCCUGAGGAAGGCUCGUCCGCUCAGGGUUAGUCAGGACCUAAGCCGAGGCCGACAGGCGUAGGCGAUGGACAACAGGUUGAUAUUCCUGUACCACCUCUUUAUCGUUUGAGCAAUGGAGGGACGCAGAAGGAUAGAAGAAGCGUGCGAUUGGUUGUGCACGUCCAAGCAGUUAGGCUGAUAAGUAGGCAAAUCCGCUUAUCGUGAAGGCUGAGCUGUGAUGGGGAAGCUCCUUAUGGAGCGAAGUCUUUGAUUCCCCGCUGCCAAGAAAAGCUUCUAGCGAGAUAAAAGGUGCCUGUACCGCAAACCGACACAGGUAGGCGAGGAGAGAAUCCUAAGGUGUGCGAGAGAACUCUGGUUAAGGAACUCGGCAAAAUGACCCCGUAACUUCGGGAGAAGGGGUGCUUUCUUAACGGAAAGCCGCAGUGAAUAGGCCCAAGCGACUGUUUAGCAAAAACACAGCUCUCUGCGAAGCCGUAAGGCGAAGUAUAGGGGGUGACACCUGCCCGGUGCUGGAAGGUUAAGGAGAGGGGUUAGCGUAAGCGAAGCUCUGAACUGAAGCCCCAGUAAACGGCGGCCGUAACUAUAACGGUCCUAAGGUAGCGAAAUUCCUUGUCGGGUAAGUUCCGACCCGCACGAAAGGUGUAACGAUUUGGGCACUGUCUCAACCAGAGACUCGGUGAAAUUAUAGUACCUGUGAAGAUGCAGGUUACCCGCGACAGGACGGAAAGACCCCGUGGAGCUUUACUGUAGCCUGAUAUUGAAUUUUGGUACAGUUUGUACAGGAUAGGCGGGAGCCAUUGAAACCGGAGCGCUAGCUUCGGUGGAGGCGCUGGUGGGAUACCGCCCUGACUGUAUUGAAAUUCUAACCUACGGGUCUUAUCGACCCGGGAGACAGUGUCAGGUGGGCAGUUUGACUGGGGCGGUCGCCUCCUAAAGUGUAACGGAGGCGCCCAAAGGUUCCCUCAGAAUGGUUGGAAAUCAUUCGUAGAGUGCAAAGGCAUAAGGGAGCUUGACUGCGAGACCUACAAGUCGAGCAGGGACGAAAGUCGGGCUUAGUGAUCCGGUGGUUCCGCAUGGAAGGGCCAUCGCUCAACGGAUAAAAGCUACCCCGGGGAUAACAGGCUUAUCUCCCCCAAGAGUCCACAUCGACGGGGAGGUUUGGCACCUCGAUGUCGGCUCAUCGCAUCCUGGGGCUGUAGUCGGUCCCAAGGGUUGGGCUGUUCGCCCAUUAAAGCGGUACGCGAGCUGGGUUCAGAACGUCGUGAGACAGUUCGGUCCCUAUCCGUCGUGGGCGUAGGAAAUUUGAGAGGAGCUGUCCUUAGUACGAGAGGACCGGGAUGGACGCACCGCUGGUGUACCAGUUGUUCUGCCAAGGGCAUAGCUGGGUAGCUAUGUGCGGAAGGGAUAAGUGCUGAAAGCAUCUAAGCAUGAAGCCCCCCUCAAGAUGAGAUUUCCCAUAGCGUAAGCUAGUAAGAUCCCUGAAAGAUGAUCAGGUUGAUAGGUUCGAGGUGGAAGCAUGGUGACAUGUGGAGCUGACGAAUACUAAUAGAUCGAGGACUUAACCAUAUAA
rnacentral:rRNA from 1 species